UACGUAGGGUGCAAGCGUUAUCCGGAUUUAUUGGGCGUAAAGGGCUCGUAGGUGGUUCGUCGCGUCCGGUGUGAAAGUCCAUCGCUUAACGGUGGAUCCGCGCCGGGUACGGGCGGGCUUGAGUGCGGUAGGGGAGACUGGAAUUCCCGGUGUAACGGUGGAAUGUGUAGAUAUCGGGAAGAACACCAAUGGCGAAGGCAGGUCUCUGGGCCGUUACUGACGCUGAGGAGCGAAAGCGUGGGGAGCGAACAGG
rnacentral:rRNA from 1 species